GCGCUGGUAGCUCAGUUGGUUAGAGCGGACCGCUCAUAACGGUUUGGUCGUGGGUUCAAGUCCCUCCCGGCGCA
rnacentral:tRNA from 2 species